rnacentral:lncRNA from 1 species
ACCUUCCUAUGAACUGUACCCAUCAAAGAAUGCUACAGAAACUGUGGGAUCUGAACGGCACCUUGAAGAGAAAGGAUUAUUCUUGGAAAGAAGAGGGAGGAUGUCCCAGUUUAAAAGAGGCAUUCAUCAAAUGGGAAGCUACAAUCGAACAUCUUCAAGGUCUUUUCACCCAUGAAUAUAUAGGCGAAUAGAGCUGGGAGUGCUUAAGAUAUGGGCAGGGUGAAGGAGAGACAAACGUGUAUGA